ACCUCUUUGAAAUAAUGGUGUUCCUUUGAUUGGAGUAUUCUAGUUGUAUCCGAUGUUGAAUAUGUGUAUCCUAAUAACAAAACACUAAAAUACGUUAGAAGGAGUGAAAUUAUUUUAAGUGCAACCAAUGUUUGUUUCGUGAACUGAAGACAUACGCUGCAUGAUGAAAACACGUGAUGCUGCAUAAUGAGUGUUUGGAAAUCGAAUUACAUGACCUGUGAAACUUUCCGCUUAAUUGAGUACACAUCACGAUUUGACAGUGAUUACUCUACGACUGCUGAACAUGGAAAUCCAGUGAUAGACAAAUGCAACAACGUAGAGGUUUCCCCCGUGACGACGAUAAUCCGUUCAGCAGUCAAAAAAGCUGGAGUAAUAAUGCAGGAGGAUAAACGACGUGUUUCACGUCAUUUUUUAACUAAUUUAAAUAUCGCUCAACUUCAAAUAAUUGUUAACGACUUACAGAGAUAUAUCGAAUUGUUAAAUGAUGAUCUAGUUCAGUUGCUUAUGAAGCGCGAUGAACUACAGAUGAGUCAAGACGCAUCUUUAAUUGACAUAGAAGAUUUAUCAUUAUACUUUUGAAAGAAAUACAUCAUGAUUGACGUUACAUAAAUUC